GCUGCUGUAGCUCAGUCGGUAGAGCGCGUCCUUGGUAAGGACGAGGUCAUGAGUCCGAAUCUCAUCAGCAGCU
rnacentral:tRNA from 2 species